rnacentral:rRNA from 1 species
ACGGCGAGUGAAGCGGGAAGAGCUCAAAUUUGUAAUCUGGCACUUUCAGUGUCCGAGUUGUAAUCUCGAGAAGUGUUUUCCGCGCCGGACCGCAUACAAGUCUGUUGGAAUACAGCGUCAUAGUGGUGAGAGCCCCGUAACUGAUGCGGAUGCCCGGUGCUUUGUGAUACACUUUCGAAGAGUCGAGUUGUUUGGGAAUGCAGCUCAAAUUGGGUGGUAAAUUCCAUCUAAAGCUAAAUAUUGGCGAGAGACCGAUAGCGAACAAGUACCGUGAGGGAAAGAUGAAAAGCACUUUGGAAAGAGAGUUAACAGUACGUGAAAUUGUUGGAAGGGAAACGAUUGAAGUCAGACUUGCUAUUCGGAGUUCAGCCGCAAGGUGUACUCUUCGAUUCGCAGGCCAGCAUCAGUUUUCGGGGGUGGAAAAUCGUGGUUUGAAGGUAGCAGUCUAGGCUGUGUUAUAGCUUUCCACUGGA